GUGGAGGACGCGUUCUGUCAGUGACGCCAAGGGUACGGCGAUCUUGGAGGGGUCGCCGUCAGAAGCGACACAGCAUCGGCGGAAUCUUGUGUCAUCGCAGCGUUACCCUGGCAUCGGUGACUGGAGUGCCAAGUGCCGGCGUUCACUUUGACUGACCAUGAGUUCGAAAGGCAUCGUGAUGUCCAACCGGCUGCUUAAGAAUGCCACUCGCAGCGAAGUGGAGUACAACAUAAAAUCGUGGCUGAUGCACACCAAAGAGCGCCACGACAGGACGUCUAAUUAAGUGGCAAGAGUGGAAGGACUAAAUCACAGCAAAAGUGGCAGCUAUGUACAGUUUUCUUGCGUGCAAAUGUGGAAUGCCUUCACAGUGUCUUAACUGCCUUGAUGCAUCAGUUAUGCUGAUUUUGUACAACUACAAAAUGCUUCAAGGGGUGAACAUGAUGAAAGAAUGCGGAGUGUAACACUAGGACGGACAAGCACGCACAAACAGCUUAAUGUGGGUAACUGAGGCCAUGUCUCUCCUGAGUUCUUUCAAAAGAUGAUUUUCACAGCGAGGUAGGCCUAUACAGGGUGUUUCACCAAAAGUCACAAAACAUUCUAACUGGCGAUGUACCUGCUGGAGGAUUGUGGGACUUUCGGCAAUUACCUCCUCGAAAUUUUGGCACAAUUGAGGAAGUCUUUGGUCAAUUUGUAAUUGUGGGAAAUUUAUUUUGUCAAUUGAGCUACAAAAAUCGCCACGCGAAACUUUUUUAAACAGAAAUAUGAAGUCCU